AGGGCGAGGAGGGAGGAGACCUACAGGCGUGGGGGGCAGAGUCGGAGAGAAUGGGGGAGCAGAGGCAACGUGAUAGGGGCGGGGUCGAGGUCCCCAGACUGGAGUAUUGGAAAUAGCCUGGCUCAGGCUGGAGAAGAAUAGAAGGACUGGGAUGUAUUUAAGAGCUGGGAUUGGAGGAUAAGGGAUGCUGAGGGGCUGUGGUGCGGGCCUAGUGGGAACGGAGAGUGAGGGCGAAUCUAGGGGAUGUGAGGGUGCAGGAGGACUUCUGAAAAGUUGGUACAGAAUCUGGGAGAACUGGGAAGGCACAACCUGGGGAGUUUUUUCCUGUGGUGUUUCUGGGAAGGAAAAGGAAGAGAAACUUACAUUUAUUGAGCGUUUGCUUGGAAGAAAGGCUCUGAGUCAGGUGUUCUCCACAAAUGUUUUAAUAAUGUGAUUUAAUCACAGCAACCCUAUGAAAUAUUAUUCUAGUUUUACAGAUAAGGGAGCUAAGACCUGUUUCCCUGUCCCACAAGUGUUAUAUAUAUAUAUAUUUUUUCUUUUUCCUUUAACAUACUUAUUGGAGUAUAAUUGCUUUACAACGUUGUGUUAGUUUCUGCUGUAUAACGAAGUGAAUCAGCUAUAUGCAUACAUAUAUCCCCAUAUCCCCUCCCUCUUGCGUCUCCCUCCCACCCUCCUUAUCCCACCCCUCUAGGUGGUCGCAAAGCACCAAGCUGAUCACCCUGUGCUAUGCAGCUUCUUCCCACUAGCUAUCUGUUUUACAUUUGGUAGUGUAUAUAUGUUAAUGUUGCUCUCUCACUUCGUCCCAGCUUACCCUUCCCCCUCCCUGUGUCCUCAAGUCCAUUCUCUACAUCUGUGUCUUUAUUCCUGUCCUGCCCCUAGGUUCAUCAGAAUCUUUUUUUUUUUUUAGAUUAUAUAUAUGUUCACAUACGGUAUUUGUUUUUCUCUUUCUGACUUACUUCACUCUGUAUGAGAGACUCUGGGUCCAUCCACCUCACUACAAAUAACUCAAUUUCGUUUCUUUUUAUGGCUGAGUAAUAUUCCAUUAUAUAUAUAUAUAUGCCACAUCUUUAUUAUUUUUUAAAAUUUAUUUAAUUUAUUAUUUUAUUUUUGGCUGCAUUGGGUCUUCGUUGCUGUGCACGGGCUUUCUCUAGUUGUGGCGAGCGGGAGCUACUCUUCGUUGCGGUGCAUGGGCUUCUCAUUGUGGUAGCUUCUCUUGUUGCAGAGCAUGGGCUAUAGGUGCCUGGGCUUCAGUAGUUGUGGCAUGCAGGCUUCAGUAGUUGUGGCACGCAAGCUCUAGAGCGCAGGCUCAGAAGUUGUGGCUCACGGACUUAGUUGCUCCGCGACAUGUGGGAUCUUCCCGGACCAGGGCUUGAACCCGUGUCUCCUGCAUUGGCAGGUAGAUUCUUAACCACUGCGCCACCAGGGAAGCCCACAUCUUCUUUAUCCGUUCAUCUGUCGAUGGACACUUAGGUUGCUUCCAGGUCCUGGCUAUUGUAAAUAGUGCUGCAAUGAACAUUGUGUUACAUGACUCUUUUUGAAUUAUGGUUUUCUCAGGGUGUAUGCCCAGUAGUGGGAUUGCUGGUCAUAUGGUAGUUCUAUUUUUAGUUUUUUAAGGAACCGCCAUACUGUUCUCCAUACUAGCUGUAUCAAUUUACAUUCCCACCAACAGUGCAAGAGGGUUCCCUUUUCUCCAUACCCUCUCCAGCAUUUAUUGUUGUAGAUUUUUUGAUGAUGGCCAUUCUGACCGGUGUGAGGUGAUACCUCAUUGUAGUUUUGAUUUGCAUUUCUCUAAUGAUUAGUGAUGUUGAGCAUCUUUUCAUGUGUUUGUUGGCAAUCUGUAUACCUUCUUUGGAGAAAUGUCUAUUUAGGUCUUCUGCCCAUUUUUGGAUUGGGUUGUUUGUUUUUUUUUGAUAUUGAGCUGCAUGAACUGCUUGUAUAUUUUGGAGAUUAAUCCUUUGUAAGUUGCUUCGUUUGCAAAUAUUUUCUCCCAUUCUGAGGGUUGUCUUUUCGUCUUGUUUAUGGUUUCCUUUGCUGUGCAAAAGCUUUUAAGUUUCAUUAGGUUCCAUUUGUUUAUUUUUGUUUUUAUUUCCAUUUCUUUAGGAGGUGGGUCAAAAAGGAUCUUGCUGUGAUUUAUGUCAUAGAGUGUUCUGCCUAUGUUUUCCUCUAAGGGUUUUAUAGUGUCUGGCCUUACAUUUAGGUCUUUAAUCCAUUUUGAGUUUAUUUUUGUGUAUGGUGUUAGGAAGUGUUUUAAUUUUAUUCCUUUACAUGUAGCUGUCCAGUUUUCCCAGCACCACUUAUUGAAGAGGCUGUCUUUUCUCCACUGUAUAUUCUUGCCUCCUUUCUCAAAGAUAAGGUGACCAUAUGUGCAUGGGUUUGUCUCUGGGCUUUCUGUCCUGUUCCAUUGAUCUGUAUUUCUGUUUUUGUGCCAGUAUCAUACUAUCUUGAUUACUGUAGCUUUGUACUAUAAUCUGAAGUCCAGAAGCCUGAUUUGUCCAGCUCCAUUUUUCUUUCUCAAGAUUGCUUUGGCUAUUCAGGGUCUUUUGUGUUUCCCUACAAAUUGUGCAAUUUUCUGUUCUAGUUGUGUGAAAAAUGCCAUUGGUAAUUUGAUAGGGAUUGCAUUGAAUCUGUAGAUUGCUUUGGGUAGUAUAGUCAUUUUCACAAUGUUGAUUCUUCCAAUCCAAGAACAUGGUAUAUCUCUCCAUCUGUUUGUAUCAUCUUUAAUUUCUUUCAUCAGUGUCUUAUAGAUUUCUGAAUACAGGUCUUUUGUCUCCUUAGGUAGGUUUAUUCCUAGGUAUUUUAUUCUUUUUGUUGCAGUGGUAAAUGGGAGUGUUUCCUUAAUUUCUCUCUCAGAUUUUUCGUCAUCAGUUUAUAGGAAUGCAAGAGAUUUCUCUGCAUUAAUUUUGUAUCCUGCUACUCUACCACAUUCAUUGAUUAGUAGUAGUUUUCUGGUAGCAUCUUUAGGAUUCUCUCUAUAUAGUAUCAUGUCAUCUGCAAACAGUGACAGUUUUACUUCUUCUUUUCCGAUUUGGAUUCCUUUUAUUUCUGUUUCUUCUCUGAUUGCUGUGGCUAAAACUUCCAAAACUAUGUUGAAUAAUGGUGGUGAAGGUGGGCAGCCUUGUCUUGUUUCUGAUCUGAGAAGAAAUGGUUUCAAUUUUUCACCAUUGAGAACAAUGUUGGCUGUGGGUUUGUCAUAUAUGGCCUUUAUUAUGUUGAGGUAGGUUCCCUCUAUGCCUACUUUCUGGAGAGUUUUUAUCAUAAAUGGGUGUUGAAUUUUGUCAAAAGCUUUUUCUGCAUCUAUUGAGACUAUCAUGUGGUUUUUAUCCUUCAUUUUGUUAAUGUGAUGUAUCACAUUGACUAAUUUGUGUAUAUUGAAGAAUCCUUGCAUUCCUGAGAUAAACCCCACUUGAUCAUGGUGUUUGAACCUUUUAAUGUGCUGUUGGAUUCUGUUUGCUAGUAUUUUGUUGAGGAUUUUUGCAUCUGUGUUCAUCAGAGAUAUUGGCCUGUAGUUUUCUUAUUUUGUGACAUCUUUGUCUGGUUUGGUAUCAGGGUGAUGGUGGCCUCAUAGAAUGAGUUUGGGAGUGUUCCUCCCUCUGCUAUAUGUUGGAAGAGUUUGAGAAGGAUAGGUGUUAUCUCUUCUCUAAAUGUUUGAUAGAAUUCGCCUGUGAAGCCAUCUGGUCCUGGGCUUUUGUUUGUUGGAAGUUUUUUAAUCGCAGUUUCAAUUCCAGUGCUUGUGAUUGGUCUGUUUAUAUUUUCUGUUUCUUCCUGGUUCAGUCUCAGAAGGUUGUGCUUUUCUAAGAAUUUGUCCAUUUCUUCCAGGUUGUCCAUUUUAUUGGUAUAUAGUUGCUUGUAGUAAUCUCUCAUGAUCCUUUGUAUUUCUGCAGCAUCAGUUGUUACUUCUCCUUUUUCAUUCUAAUUCUGUUGAUUUGAGUCGUCUCCCUUUUUUUCUUGAUGAGUCAGGCUAAUGGUUUAUCAAUUUUGUUUAUCUUCUCAAAGAACCAGUUUUUAGUUUUCUUGAUCUUUGCUAUUGUUUCCUUCAUUUCUUUUUCAUUUAUUUCUGAUCUGAUCUUUAUGAUUUCUUUCCUUCUGCUAACUUUGAGUUUUUUUUGGUUCUUCUUCCUCUAAUUGCUUUAGGUGUAAGGUUAGGUUCUUUAUUUGAGAUUUUUCUUGUUUCUUGAGGUAAGGUUGUAUUGCUGUAAACUUCCCUCUUAGAACUGCUUUUGCUGCAUCCCAUAUGUUUUGGGUUGUUGUGUUUUCAUUGUCAUUUGUUUCUAGGUAUUUUUUGAUUUCCUCUUUGAUUUCUUCUGUGGUCUCUCGGUUAUUUAGUAGCAUAUUAUUUAGCCUCCACGUGUUUGUAUUUUUAAAUUUUUCCUGUAGUUGAUCUCUAGUCUCAUAACGUUGUGGUCGGAAAAGAUACUUGAUACGAUUUCAGUUUUCUUAAAUUUACCAAGGCUUGAUUUGUGACCCAGAAUAUGAUCUAUCCUGGAGAAUGUUCCAUGAGCACUUGAGAAGAAAGUGUAUUCUGUUGUUUUUGGAUGCAGUGUCCUAUAAAUAUCAAUUAAGUCCAUCUUGUUUAAUGUAUCAUUUAAAGCUUGUGUUUCCUUAUUUAUUUUCAUUUUGGAUGAUCUGUCCAUUGGUAAAAGUCAGGUGUUAAAGUCCCCUACUAUUAUUGUGUUACUAUUUCCCCUUUUAUGGCUGUUAGCAUUUGCCUUAUGUAUUGAGGUGCUCCUAUGUUGGGUGCAUAAAUAUUUACAAUUGUUAUAUCUUCUUCUUGGAUUGAUCCAUUGAUCAUUAUGUAGUGUCCUUCUUUGUCUCUUGUAAUAGUGUUUGUUUUUUUUGUUUUAAUUUAUUUUUGGCUGCAUUGGGUCUUCGUUGCUGCACGCAGGCUUUCUCUAGUUGUGGCGAGCGGGGGCUACUCUUCGUUGUGGUGUGCGGGCUUCUCAUUGCAGCGGCUUCUCUUGUUGCAGAGCACGGGCUCUAGGCACGUGGUCUUCAGUAGUUGCGGUGUGCAGGCUUCAGUAGUUGUGGUUUGCAGGCUCUAGAGCGCAGGCUCAGUAGUUGUGGUGCAUGGGCCUUGUUGCUCCACGGCAUGUGGGAAUCUUCCCGGACCAGGGCUCAAACCCAUAUCCCCUGCAUUGGCAGGCAGGUUCUUAACCACUGCACUGCCAGGGAAGCCCCUAGUCUUUGUUUUAAAGUCUAUUUUGUCUGAUAUGAGGAUUGCUAUUCUAGCUUUCUUUUGAUUUCUAUUUGCAUGGAAUAUCUUUUUCCAUCCCCUCACUUUCAGUCUGUAUGUGUCCCUAGGUCUGAAGUGGGUCUUUUGUAGACAGCAUAUGUAUGGGUCUUGUUUUUGUAUCCAUUCAGCCAGUCUAUGUCUUUUGGUUGGAACAUUUAAUCCAUUUACGUUUAAGGUAAUUAUCAAUAUGUAUGUUCCUAUUACCAUGUUCUUAAUUGUUUAGGGUUUGUUUUUGUAGGUCUUUUCCUUCUCUUGUGUUUCCUGCCUAGAGAAGUUCCUUUAGCAUUUGUGCUGAUUUGGUGGUGCUGAAUUCUCUUAACUUUUGCUUAUCUGUAAAGGUUUUAAUUUCUCCAUCGAAUCUGAAUGAGAUCCUUGCUGGGUAGAGUAAUCCUGGUUGUAGGUUUUUCCCUUUCAUCACUUUAAAUAUGUCCUGCCACCCCCUUCUGGCUUGCAGAGUUUCUGCUGAAAGAUCAGCUGUUAACCUUAUGGGGAUUCCCUUGUAUGUUAUUUGUUGCUUUUCCCUUGCUGUUUUUAGUAUUUUUUCUUGUAUUUAAUUUUUGAUAGUUUCAUUAAUAUUUGUCUCGUUGUGUUUCUCUUUGGGUUUAUCCUGUAUGGUACUCUCUGUGCUUCCCAGACUUAAUCGACUGUUUCCUUUCCCAUGUUAGGGAAAUUUUCAAGUAUAAUCUCUUCAGAUAUUUUCUCAGCCUCUUUCUUUUUCUCUUCUUCUUCUGGCACCCCUAUAAUUCGAAUGUUGGUGCGUUUAUGUUGUCCCAGAGGUCUCUGAGACCGUCCUCAGUUCUUUGCAUUCUUUUUUCUCUUUAUUCUGCUCCCUGGCAGUUAUUUCCACCAUUUUAUCUUCCAGCUCACUUAUCCAUUCUUCUGCCUCAGUUAUUCUGUUAUUGAUUCCUUCUGGAGUAUUUUUUUAAUAUAUUUAUUUUAUUUAUUUAUUUUUGGCUGUGUUGGGUCUUCGUUGCUGUGCACAGGCUUUCUCUAGUUGCAGCGAGCAGGGGCUACUCUUCGUUGCAGUGCACAGGCUUCUCAUUGCGGUGGCUUCUCUCAUUGUGGAGCAUGGGCUCUAGGCGCAUGGGUUUCAGUAGUUUGCAGCACGCAGGUCCAGUAGUUGUGGCUCAUGGGCUCUAGAGCACAAGCUCAGUAGUUGUGGUGCACGGGCUUAGUUGCUCCGCGGCAUGUGGGAUCUUCCCGGACCAGAGGUCGAGCCCAUGUCCCCUGCAUUGGCAGGUGGAUUCUUAACCACUGCGCCACCAGGGAAGUCCAGCCCCUAGAGUAUUUUUUUUUUUUUUCGCGGUACGCAGCCCUCUCACUGUUGUGGCCUCUCCCGUUGCCGAGCACGGGCUCUGGACGCGCAGGCUCAGCGGCCAUGGCACACGUGCUUAGUUGCUCCACAGCAUGUGGGAUCUUCCCGGACCGGGGCACGAACCCGUGUCCCUUGCAUCAGCAGGCGGACUCUCAACCACUGCGCCACCAGGGAAGCCCCCCCUAGAGUAUUUUUAAUUUCAGUAAUUGUGUUGUUCAUCACUGUUUGUUUGCUCUUUAGUUCUUCUAGAUCCUUGUUAAAUGUUUCUUGUAUUUUUUCCAUUCUGUUUCCAAGAUUUUGGAUCAUUUUUACUAUCAUUACUCUGAAUUCUUUUUCAGGUAGGUUGCCUAUUUCAUCUUCAUUUAUUUGGUCUUGUAGGUUUUUACCUUGCUCCUUUGUCUGUAACUUUUUUUUUUUUUUUAAAGAAGAUGUUGGGAGUAGGAGUUUAUUAAUUAAUUUAUUGUAUUUUUGCUGUGUUGCGUCUUCGUUUCUGUAUGAGGGCUUUCUCUAGUUGUGGCAAGCGGGGCCACUCUUCAUCGCGGUGUGCGGGCAUCUCACUGUUGUGGCCUCUCUUGUUGCGGAGCACAGGCUCCAGACAUGCAGACUCAGUUGUUGUGGCUCACGGGCCUAGUUGCUCUGUGGCAUGUGGGAUCCUCCCAGACCAGGGCUCAAACCCUUGUCCCCUGCAUUAGCAGGCAGAUUCUCAACCACUACGCCACCAGGGAAGCCCUGUAAAGUAUUUUUUUGGUCGUUUCUUUUUUUUUUUUUUUCUAUUUUUGAUGGUGGUGCUGUAUUCCUGUCUUACUGGUUGUUUGGCCUGAGACGUCCAGCACUGGAGUUUGCAGGCAGUUGGAUAGAGAUGGGUCUUGGUGCCGAGAUGAGGACCUCCGGGAGGCCUCACUCUGAUUAAUAUUCCCUGGGUCCUGAGGUUCUUUGUUAGUCCAGCGGUUUGGACUCGGAGCUCCCAGCACAGGAGCUCGGGCCCGACCUCUGGCCUGGGAACCAGGGUCUUGCAAGCUUCGUGGCAUGGUAAAAAAAAAAAAAAAGAAAGAGAAAA